CCUACGAGCGGCAGCAGUGGGGAAUAUUGCGCAAUGGGCGAAAGCCUGACGCAGCGACGCCGCGUGAGGGAUGAGGGUCUUCGGAUCGUCAACCUCUGUCAGCAGGGAAGAACGGUCACUGUGCUAAUCAGCAGUGAAUUGACGGUACCUGCAAAGGAAGCACCGGCUAACUCCGUGCCAGCAGCCGCGGUAAUACGGAGGGUGCGCGCGUUAAUCGGAAGUACUGGGGGUAAAGCGCUCGUAGGCGGUAUGUCAAGUCAAGGGUGAAAUCCCCGCGCUCAACGUGGGAACUGACUUUGAAACUGGCAAACUGGAGUGUGUGAGAGGAUAGUAGAAGUCAAGGUGUAGGAGUGAAAUCCGUAGAUAUCUGGAGGAACAUCAGUGGCGAAGGCGACUAUCUGGCACAUAACUGACGCUGAGGAGCGAAAGCGUGGGUAGCAAACAGGAUUAGAUACCCCUGUAGUC
rnacentral:rRNA from 1 species